UCCCUGGUGGCUCAGAAGGUAAAGCAUCUGCCCACAAUGCAGGAGACCUGGGUUCGAUUCCUUGGUUGGGAA
rnacentral:tRNA from 1 species